GUGACUCAGACGGGAGUGGGGUUUGUGAGUGGGCUCCAGCCACACACGACUUCGUGCCUGUGACGUUGGCUCCUCCAUCCGCCUCUUUCCUGGAGUGCAGCCUGAGUCACAGCUCGAAACUUCUCCCACCUUCUCCGGGUGGAGGGGGCUUCCCCAGUCUUGGGGUGCGCACCUCAGGCAACGACCCAUCCCUCACUCCCCUGUGCUGGGACUGCAUGGGAAGCUGGACUACACUCCUCAGCCUCCCUUGAAGUUGCAGUGAACUUAUGAUGGUUUGUUCUAACCACCGUAAUAUCAACUGACGUUUAUCUACAAGGAUUUUUAUCAGGGUUGUUUGAAACCAGGGGUCAGCAAAAUUGUUUCGUGACCAGUCAAGUAUGCACAGAAUCAUCUGAGCACCUGACUCAGAGGUCAUGAAAUGCUUUCCUUCACCUGGAUGCAUGAAAAGUAGACAGGUACUGCUGACUCUGAACUGAAGAUCAAGCUGAUGGGCUCUGACUAUGGGAGGUUUCUUCAGCAGAAUAAAUUCACUGAUGCAAGUUUCAGGAGUUUGUCUGCAAGGGCAUUGGGCUAUCUGUUGAUGACCUGGGUAUGUCUGUAUGCAUUGGAGUAAGUGUGCAGUGACCAGAAAGAGCGUGCAUGGAAAAGUGAGUGUGUUUAUUCUGCCAAGGGAUGGUGCCAUUAACAAUCACCAAGGCAGCAAAGUAGGUUUGCAGCCAAUGGCUGCUGACGUUAGUCACCUUCUUAGCCUUCACAACCCACUAACUCAGGCAGCUGUCUUUCCAGUCCAUCCUAGCACACUCAGGGGUCACCUGUCUUGACACUACUCCUCACCAUGUUUCCACAUUCCCCACAAGGCAGGGAGCACACCUGCUCCCAUUGGGCACCCACAGGCAAUACCGUGUGCAGCAGCCCAUUAGAGUAUCAGUUUUCUGGCUAUUCUUUGGAGCUGCUGGAUCCAAUAUGUUUCCCCAUAUGCUUGAACCUUUUUGCAAUUCUUCCAUCUGUUUCUGGGAAAUGUGAAGGAAUUUAAUGAUCUUUUCUGGGGUUAUUAAACCGACAGCUGUUGUCAUUAAUAGAGGACAUUCUUUACUGCAGCGAAUAAAUGCUAGUCAUAACUCCAGCCUGUCUUAUGCACUCUCAUUAAUGACUACAGAGUUUGUCUCAAGACUGGGGUGAUGAACAUGGGGGGUUCUGAUGCCAGCUUUGGAGAUGAUUCAUCUUCAAAGUGUGAACAC
rnacentral:lncRNA from 1 species